GACGAACGCUGAGCGGCGCGCUUACACAUGCAAGUCGAGCGAGAACCAGGCCUUCGGGCCUGGGGACAGCGGCGAACGGGUGAGUAACACGUGGGUAAUCUGCCCUCGGUACUGGGAUAGCCCGGGGAAACCCGGAUUAAUACCGGAUAGCCCUCCGAGCCUUCGGGCUCGCAGGAAAAGGGAGCUUCGGCCUCCGACCGAGGAUGAGCCCGCGGCGGAUUAGCUUGUUGGUGGGGUAACGGCCUACCAAGGCGACGAUCCGUAGCUGGUCUGAGAGGACGAUCAGCCACACUGGGACUGAGACACGGCCCAGACUCCUACGGGAGGCAGCAGUGGGGAAUCUUGCCCAAUGGGCGAAAGCCUGAGGCAGCGACGCCGCGUGCGGGAAGAAGGCCUUCGGGUUGUAAACCGCUUUCAGGAGGGACGAAGCCACUCGGGUUAAUAGCCCAGAGGGUGACGGUACCUCCAGAAGAAGCCCCGGCUAACUACGUGCCAGCAGCCGCGGUAAUACGUAGGGGGCAAGCGUUGUCCGGAUUUAUUGGGCGUAAAGAGCGUGUAGGCGGCUAGGUAGGUCCGUUGUGAAAACUCGAGGCUCAACCUCGAGACGCCGGUGGAAACCAUCUAGCUAGAGUCCGGAAGAGGAGAGUGGAAUUCCUGGUGUAGCGGUGAAAUGCGCAGAUAUCAGGAAGAACACCCGUGGCGAAGGCGGCUCUCUGGGACGUGACUGACGCUGAGACGCGAAAGCGUGGGGAGCGAACAGGAUUAGAUACCCUGGUAGUCCACGCCGUAAACGAUGGGUGCUAGGUGUGGGCGGUGUCGACUCCGUCCGUGCCGAAGCUAACGCAUUAAGCACCCCGCCUGGGGAGUACGGCCGCAAGGCUAAAACUCAAAGGAAUUGACGGGGGCCCGCACAAGCAGCGGAGCAUGUUGUUUAAUUCGAAGCAACGCGAAGAACCUUACCAGCCCUUGACUUGGGGAGUGUGGGUCGCAGAGACGUGACCCUUCAGUUCGGCUGGCUCCCACACAGGUGCUGCAUGGCUGUCGUCAGCUCGUGUCGUGAGAUGUUGGGUUAAGUCCCGCAACGAGCGCAACCCUCAUCUUCAGUUGCCAUCAUUAAGUUGGGCACUCUGAAGAAACUGCCGGUGACAAGCCGGAGGAAGGCGGGGAUGACGUCAAGUCCUCAUGGCCCUUACGGGCUGGGCUACACACGUGCUACAAUGGCGGUGACAAUGGGAUGCAAGGGGGCGACCCUGCGCCAAUCUCAAAAAGCCGUCUCAGUUCGGAUUGUACUCUGCAACUCGAGUGCAUGAAGUCGGAUCGCUAGUAAUCGUGGAUCAGCACGCCACGGUCACACGUUCCCGGCUGCACUCACC
rnacentral:rRNA from 1 species